CUGUCAGGUUCUGUAAGGUUCUGUGUGUGUAAGGUUCUGUUACUGUCAGGUUCUGUAAGGUUCUGUGUGUGUAAGGUUCUGUUACUGUCAGGUUCUGUAAGGUUCUG